GACGAACGCUGGCGGCGUGCCUAAUACAUGCAAGUGGGACGCAAGGAAACACACUGUGCUUGCACACCGUGUUUUCUUGAGUCGCGAACGGGUGAGUAACGCGUAGGUAACCUGCCUAUUAGCGGGGGAUAACUAUUGGAAACGAUAGCUAGUACCGCAUAAUAUUAAUUAUUGCAUGAUAAUUGAUUGAAAGAUGCAAGCGCAUCACUAGUAGAUGGACCUGCGUUGUAUUAGCUAGUUGGUAAGGUAAGAGCUUACCAAGGCGACGAUACAUAGCCGACCUGAGAGGGUGAUCGGCCACACUGGGACUGAGACACGGCCCAGACUCCUACGGGAGGCAGCAGUAGGGAAUCUUCGGCAAUGGACGAAAGUCUGACCGAGCAACGCCGCGUGAGUGAAGAAGGUUUUCGGAUCGUAAAGCUCUGUUGUAAGUCAAGAACGUGUGUGAGAGUGGAAAGUUCACACAGUGACGGUAGCUUACCAGAAAGGGACGGCUAACUACGUG
rnacentral:rRNA from 1 species